rnacentral:miRNA from 1 species
ACAUUCUUAUAUUAUGAGACGGAG